rfam:Salmo salar isolate Sally breed double haploid chromosome ssa12, whole genome shotgun sequence.
GACUCAGUUGGUAGAGCAUGGUGUUUGCAACGCCAGGGUUGUGGGUUCGAUUCCCAC